rnacentral:lncRNA from 1 species
ACCAGUCACCAGGCUGAAGGAUGUAAAGCCUUCAGGUAACUAACGACCCUGUUUAUAAAGAGCCAAGAGGAUGCAAUCUAUACUUAAAAUACUUCCCCAUAUGUGAAAUACACAGAUGUGAGCUCCAGCAAUUUGGAUUAAUAUUCUGAUUCAUCUUGCAUCUAGCUGAUAAUUUCAUCAAAAUGACACAUAUUGUGAGAGAAGCAUGCUGAAGACUUUUAAAAAUUGUUUUUAGCUUUUAACUCUUCAACAAAAGUCACUGCUUGAAAUGGCAAGAAAUGAAUCAAUCGAUCAAUAAACCAGUUCAAAACCUACAUAUGCAGAGUCCUAAAAUAGGUAUUUAUUUAUAAUUUUGACAACAUGUAAUGGAAAAAAGAUAUCUUUUGUAAGAACUAAGGCACUUAUCCUUCCUGUAAAGGGCUAGGCUGAGGACAUAUUCUUUAUAGCAGAUGCUUUGUUCUGCUUGAUACUCAUGGGUUGCAUGUUCAUUUCUGCUAUUUGUUCUUUUGAUGCACUAUAGCAGCGAUUUCUAUAACUUUUUCUACAAAAGACCAGUUAGGAAAUAUCUUCAGCUUUAUGGACCAUACAAUCUCCAUGGCAAUUACUCAGCUUUACCACGGUAGCAAGAAAGCAGCCAUGGAUGGUGUCUGAACAAAUGAGCAUGGCCAAAUUUGGCUUGCCACAUCUCUGCUCUACAGGACAAACCACAUUGUAUGGCAGCAGGGGAUAACUGGCUGGAUGCAGUAUAUAGUCCAGACCAGCUGACUGAUAUUUUUGUUUGCAAUUAGAUGGAAUCUCUUUUUUAUUUGUUUUGCUCUGUUUUUUUUUUUGUUUUGUUUUUUGUUUUUUUUUUUUUGACACAGAGUCUCUCUCCAUUGCCCCACCUGGAGUGUGGUGAUGUGAUCAUGGCUCAUUACAGCCUCAACCUCCUGGGCUCAAGUAAUUCUCUCACCUCAGCCUUUUGAAUAGCUGGGAGUACAGGUGCACACCACUGUGCUCAGCUAAUUUUUUAAAAAAAUUUUUUGUAGAGACUGGAUCUCCCAAUGUUGCCCAGGCUGGUCUCAAACCCCUGGCCUCAAGCAAUCCUCCUGCCUCAGGCCCCCAAAUAGCUGGGAUUAUACACGUGAGCCAUCAUGCCCUGCCUAAGUGUCUUUCCUUUAUAACUUAUUCGUAUGUCCUGUUUUACCAAGGAGAGUGUGAGCUCUUGGAUGAGGGGGACAAUAUUAAUUUAAUGCUCUCCCAGAAGUUCAUACAGAUGACAUGCUCCGGAGGAGGAAGCGUGAGCCUGACUGUGAAACAGAUCAGAAUUCAAGUCCUGGUCUUGCUGUUCAUUCGCUGUGUAACACUGGACAAGUUCUGUCUCUGCACGCACCUCUUUGCCACAGCAUUAUGAACACAGCUGACGUUUUUCUUUCUCCUAAAAUUCAUCUCAGUACCACCAAGUAAAUAUAGACACAGUGGGAGCCCUGAGAGGGGAAAAUUACAUAUUGCACUUUGUCUGUCUGAAUAUUUAAACAAAGAACGUAGCAUCUCUCAUCCCCGAUGCUCUCUCUACAUGUGAUGGAAGAAUGUCCUUCACUUUUCUAGUCAGGGUUAACUCCACAGGAACAUAAAUAAGGAGGGAGGUUGACAGUUCUAUGAGGGUCGUGCAAGGAGGAAAUGUUGUCUCACUAAAAGAUACAAGUAUUCUCCCAGCCAACCCUGAAGAUCUCUGUGUUAGUGACCCAAUGUUGAGCGAAGCUGAGAUUCAAAGCAGAAGGAAGCUGAGGCCCACAGAAUGAAGUGAGCCAGCUAGGGCAGGCAUGGCAGGGUGGGGUGCCUAAGGACAGAGCAAACAAUGGGAACAGGGAAACAGGAGGAGGGAAAUGGGAGACUGCUGGCACCUAUGAGCUGUGCACCAUUCAGAUUGUCACAUAAUCCCAAGCCCUGUGGGUACACAGAUUCACACACGUUAUUGCAAGCUCUUCCCUGGGAAACUUUUACCAGGACACGUUGGCAGGGUCUGAUAAAACUCCUCACAAAUGUAGCUCACCUAUAUUAGGUUGGUGCAAAAGUAAUUGUGGUUUUGCCAUUGUAAUGCCAACCUAAUAUAAAAAUUAAUGUUCUAUAUGAGUUACUUAAUAUGGAAUUACUCUUGUACCAACCUAAUAUAGAAAUUGAUUCUAUU